rnacentral:rRNA from 1 species
AGUGAACGCUGGCGGUAGGCCUAACACAUGCAAGUCGAACGGCAGCACAGUAAGAGCUUGCUCUUACGGGUGGCGAGUGGCGGACGCGUGAGGAAUACAUCGGAAUCUACUUUUUCGUGGGGGAUAACGUAGGGAAACUUACGCUAAUACCGCAUACGACCUACGGGUGAAAGCAGGGGAUCUUCGGACCUUGCGCGAUUGAAUGAGCCGAUGUCGGAUUAGCUAGUUGGCGGGGUAAAGGCCCACCAAGGCGACGAUCCGUAGCUGGUCUGAGAGGAUGAUCAGCCACCCUGGAACUGAGACACGGUCCAGACUCCUACGGGAGGCAGCAGUGGGGAAUAUUGGACAAUGGGCGCAAGCCUGAUCCAGCCAUACCGCGUGGGUGAAGAAGGCCUUCGGGUUGUAAAGCCCUUUUGUUGGGAAAGAAAAGCAGCAGGUUAAUACCCCGCUGUUCUGACGGUACCCAAAGAAUAAGCACCGGCUAACUUCGUG